CCCCCCCGUUAAAGGGAAUUUCGUCCCGAAAUUCAAAGAUUAAGAUACAGUUCAUGAAUUGAAAAGAGAUAUGGAUGAAUCUACUGUUUCGAGUCUUCACGCUCCAAAGUGAAAUCGGGUCUCCGCUUGACAUUCCAGCGAACCGACACUAUCGGGAUGCGGCUUUGUUUCGUACAUUUGAUCUCUAGAUUCAUGAUCUCACUUUGUUCUUCCAUGGGGGUUCAGUCUUUUGUAGAUUUCGAUAUCAUCAAGGGAUUACUAGAGUUUCGUCGAGCAGGCGUUUCUAAAGAUUCGAGACAUGGAAGCAAGAUGGAUACUACCAAGCCCUUGAGAUAGUCGAAGUUUGUAGUUCACGGUUCCGAUUUUGACGGGGAUUUCGAGAAGCCCAAUGUAGCACGGGUGAAGUUUUCCGCACUUUCCAAAGCAUAACAUGCCAUUCUGGGAUAAGACCGUCAACAGGACAUAAGCUCCAACAAGAGGGUAUAUCUUCGUGGGGAAGAGUAGCUAAGGUUUUGAUGAUUCUGAAAGAAAUUUCUUGGUGGGUCUACGAUAAUAGUCGGCGGGACCCAAGAAUUGACGGGUUUCUAUGGGUAUCUUCGGUGCCGACUAAGUCUCUAUCGUCUUGAUUUUUGGAAGGGUCUACAGGUAUAACUGCUUUGCUUGCUACAUGACCAGGGAAAGUGGUUUGACCGAAGAGCACCACUACUAACUCGUAGUGACCAUAUCGAGUCCUGACCGCUGUCUUAGACACAUCAUCCUCCCGGAGAUUUGGCUACGAGAUAUUUCCAGGGAUUAGGUCGAUGUGAUAUUCGACUAGACGUUCGGAAAGAAUUUUCGGGAAAGUCAUCAGGGAAAGAGUUGCAAACUUCCCGUUUCCGAUGAUCACACGGACGAGGAAUCCAUGGCACUCCCUUCAGAGAAACUUUCUAAGCUUUGAUGCACGAAAUGAUGUGAGGUUGGAUUUAGGUUUGUUGCCGAAGAUCAUGAGAAUUGAGUCAGAGGAAAGAUUUAGACGGACAACCUUUUCGAAACCAAGAAUAAUAGCAUGAAUAAGACCCGGUCAUUACAUGCCAAUAAUAACAUCAAAGCAUAUCAUGAAAGUUUUCCAUUUGAUCAAAUGGAAAAGAAUAAUCAUCCGAAUUAAGGAUACAACCUAUGGGUAUGACGUUAACAUUCUCUUUCUCACUGGUUAGUCAUCUUGACGGUACACAUUUCGGUUAUUAACGAAAUAUUAAGUUUGGAAAGAUGUUUGAAUGGAUAGUUAGCAAAUUUCUUUCAGCACUAGAAUCGAAAAAGAUCACAGGCAUACAAUUCAUUGAGGAGGAGUAUACCUGUGGCAACAGUGGGGUCGGUGGCUGCCUCAUUUUGUCCUAUAGCUAGGACUCUCCCGGUGUUGCCAGAUGUUGCUGCCUUAGGGCAGUUUCGUUUGUAAUGUCCAAUUUCUCCACAACUAUAACGGGUUUGACCGAUACCAGCUCCGGAAGCUUGACUAGUUGAUUCGGUUGGUGCUCUGCAGCUUCGUGCGAGGUGACCUUCCUGGCCACAGUUUUUACAAAACUUUGCACGACAAGGGCCAGGGAUACGAUGGUGGUAACUGCACCUAUUGCACCACAGAAGGAUACUGGUAUAUCCGGUGAUAGGUGCUUGGCCUGAGGAACCGAUAACUGAAACAGCAGCAGGGGUAGUGGCAGCGUGGACUGCCAUUAUCUGUUGUUUCUUUGAGGACUCCGUGGAAGACUGACUCUUCUUCUUCUUCUUCCAAAAUUUUAUUUUCUCACCACUCUUCUCUGUCGGCUCGGGAGUGGUGGCCGCUUCCUCUGGGUCAUCGCUAUGGUCGAUCAAGGUUUGCGCUAGGCAUUUGGCACUGUCAUAGGUAUCCGGUUUCUCAACUAAAACAUUCCCUUUGGAUGGCUGGGUCAAUCCCCAAAUGAACCUCUCAACCUUCUUACUCUCCGGGGUAACCAUUCCCGGACAGAGAAGCGCCAAGUCAUCAAAUUUGGAUGUAUAUGCGGCGAUAUCAGAACCUUUCAUCUUCAGGUUCCAGAGUUCAUGCUCCAGCUUCUGAAUUUCGCCCCGACGGCAGUACUCCGCGAACAGAAGUUCCUUCAUGACUUCCGAACCCAUAGCAUUGGCUACAGGUAGGGUUAGAGAUUUAACUCGGCCGUUCCACCAAGUCAGAGCUUUAUCGGUGAAUGUGCAUGCGGCGAAUUUCACCUUGUCAGAUUCGGAACAGGCACAGAUCUCGAUGAUAGAUUCGAUUUUCUAUAACCACUGAGUUAUGGCAAUGACACCUCCAUUGCCAUCGAAGAAUGUGGGUUUCGCGUUCAUAAAUUCCUUAUAGGAACACUCCUUCCGGUAUCCCUGGCUACCUUUCUGGUUUUGGUGCUGGGGACCACCUCCUGAACCACCGGGGUUUAUGUGAGACCAGGCGGCUGCCACUGCGGCGGCAACACCUGCCUGGAACACGAUAGGAUCAAAUUCAUGAGGAGGUGGUUGUGGCGUAGGGUUGUUGUUCUUUGAGUUGGGUCUCUUUCUUGGAGGCAUCUUGAUCUAAAAAGAUCAAGAAAGAGAGGAUCAUAAGUCCUCUGAAUUGAAUCAAGAGAUAUGGAACAGGGGAUAUCUCAUUAAGACAGAUAUAGAAUUCUAUUAAGCGAUAAAGCAGGAAAGAGUUAUCAAAGCUGGUAAACUAUCGCUAAAGGAAUGAUUGAGGAGCAACGCUGGAAUGAGGAUCUCUACAACGGAUUGGCUCGAGAAAUACUCCCAUAGUAUUUCAUGAUUCGCUGCAACGACGGCUCGUUGUUUUGGGUAUUGGGUAUGUUUUAGGCAUGCUGCAUACCACAUUCACUCCCAAGCACAUGUUGGCCGUGUCUCGAAUGAAUAUAGUUGACCAGGCUAUAUUGAUCCUAGACACAACUACAUAACUGCCCAGGUUUAACCGGAGCGUACAACACCCAUUUUCUAAUGUUUUGUUCUACUUGUAGUUACGAAUUUCGACGAUUAGGUAUACUUGUAUACUUUUGAAAAUACUUAUACUUUAAGGUAUACUUUUAGUUCAGAGCACUUAGGCCCCUUAGUGUUUAUAGUCUUAUACCAUGUAAGCUUUGGUAUACUAGUUAACUAUAAACAAGGGCUCUGAUACCAAUUUGACACACUCCGAAACCAGAGACGGAAACGUUCCAGGGCGGAGGACGUCAUGAAUAUCGCAACCAAUGUACAUAGUAAGCAUAGUAAACAUAAAACAUUACAUUACAUAGAAAUAUUUACAUUGUUUGAAAACAAAGAGUUACAAAGGUUAUACAUAUUCAUAUCAUAUGAACAAAAGUAAUGACGUGUCUUCUACGCAUUCCGUCCUCAACAAAAGGAUCGUUGGUACCUGUCUAAGGUGGACCUGAGAAUACAAGCAGUUUGAAAAUUAGCAUAAAGCUGGUGAGUUCAUAAGCGGUUCAGUUUUGAAAAAAAGAAUGGUUUUCCUUUGGUUUUUCUGAAAAUGAUGUUAUCCAAGAAAAUCCCAUAUUUUCUUAUAAAAACAGUUUUGUUAUCCUUCGUUACACGAUUUCAUUUAUGAGUAGAUAUGUUGUUCCAGGAAAAUCCCAUAUUUUCCUACUAGUUUAGUUUUCCAUUCGUUACACCAUUUGUUUACGAGUUGUUAUGUUUUCCCAGGAAAAUCCCAUAUUUUCCUAAAUGUUUCCUUUAGUUCUUAGUUCGGAUUUCGAUGUACUAGUAUCUACCAAACUUAUAGUAUUAGUUAGGUGUUCUGAUAUCUUAGUUACCCUACAUUCGAAUAUCGAUUAUCUACUAUACUUAGUUAUAUUUUCGAAUAUUUGGAUACACUCAGAAACAUACAUUAACUGUAUAUUUGAUGUUCUGGUGAUUUCCAAAAGAGUACAUUAGACGUAUCUUCGAAACUCUGUCGACAUCCAAAGGCAUAUGUUUUCGAAACUCAUUCGAUGACCAGAGGCAUACUUUCGAAUUAUUUUCGAAACUCUGAUGACACUCAAGGCAUACACUAAUUGUAUUUCCGAAGUCUUGACGUCAUCAAAGGCGUGCUUUCGUAUUCGUAUUCGUAUACCUAUUCCUAUUCCUAUUCCUAUUCAUAUUCGUAUUCGUAUUCGUAUUCACAUUCGUAUUCGUAUUGCUAUUCCUAUUCGUAUUCGUAUUCGUAUUGAAAUUCCUAUUCGUAUUCGUAUUUGUAUUCACAUUCGUAUUCGUAUUCGUAUUGCUAUUCCUAUUCGUAUUUGUAUUCGUAUUCGUAUUCGUAUUCCUAUUUGUAUUCGUAUUCAUAUUCGUAUUCGUAUUCGUAUUCGUAUUCGCAUUCGUAUUCGUAUUCAUAUUGCUAUUCCUAUUCGUAUUCGUUCUAUUUCUAACUGCACUUUCGUAUAUACAGGGAGCAUAUAUCAAGUUCAUUUUAAUACAGUUUUCCAUGUUAAGAGCAUACGAAAUACGAAAUAGAUCAAAUAAAAUCAUAAGUUUGAGUACAAGAUUGCCUUGUACUUUUACUUGUAUUCCCCCCUGAAAACAUUGAAAAACAUUGAAAAAGGGUAGCGGUAUGAACUCACCGAUCGAAGAGUGUGCCUGAUUUGGAUGCUAAACAUUAGUUCGGGGCUUGAACGCGUGUGAGGUCCCUAUGUAAUAUGAAAAGAUACACAUUUGUAUCUAAUUAGGAUUUGAACUACCAUUUAGAUAAGAUUAUACACUUCCAAGACGCGAAAACACUUCAUUACAAGUGUUUGGAGUGACCCAGGUGACAUUUAGGGACAUAUACAACUUGGAUAUGGAUUUUAUCCCUCAAGAGUAAACUGAUAAGAGGGUUUACGGCCCUAAUGACCCACUCCCCAUGAUUUUACGGUCGUAAACUCAUGGUGGGGUGUUUUAUGGUGCUAAAUAGCCUUAUAUCACUUGGGAAAAUUUGCUAGGAUCAAAUCUAGGGCAUUGGAAUGGAUUAAACUCACAUAUGGAACAUUUAAUGGAGUUUACGGCAGUAAACUAGGAGUUUACGGCCGUAAACUCCCCCACACUCAAUCCUUUGAUGUUUUGGUGGUCCUAGGUCCUUUACAAGAGUUUCUAAGUCAUUAUACAAGCCUUGGGAUGAGUUUAAGGUACCUUUUGACCAUGUUUUAGGAGUUUACGGCCUAAGAACCCAUUCUUGAGGGGUUUACGGCCGUAAGCUCUUAUGGGAGUUGUUCUAGCAUGUUUAAGGUCCUAAUCUUGGUUGUAGUUGCUUCUAGACUUCAUUCUAAGGCUUAUGAGGUGUGUAAGUGGCAUUUUAACACCUUAAUUUGAGUUUACUCCCCAUGGAUAGGUGUUUAUGGUCCAAGCAUACACUUAGGCCGUAAACUCAUGUCCAUGCCCUAAAUGAAGACUUUAAGGUCUUCUAAGUCCAUGCAAAUAAGUCCCUUAGUCAUAUCUAAGCUCCAAAUGAGGUUUGGAAGGGUUUUAAGGCUCAAAACGCCACAUUAUAUGUGUUCACGGCCUAAGGAGGUUCCAGGACCAUAAACACAUGUUUAUGGUCCUAUUCCUCUUGGUUUUCACGAAUUUGGAGGUUAAAGGUGUUAUACUAGGAGCUAGGAUAGUUACCUUGAUGAUUUGGAGCUUGAUUUGGAUGAUUUUGGCUUGAUUUCGAGUUUUAGAGAGUGAAAGUAGAGAGAGUAGAGAGAGAGUGGAAAGGCUUCAAAUGAGGCUCUCUCAACUUUAUAUAUGCUCAAGGUUUGGGACACGGUGGAAUUCUACCUGAUACUGAUGUUAAGUGACGCUUUUGGUCGCACCCAAUUUAAUUGUUUUAUAACUUGACGGAAUAAAACUAAAAUUUUUCCAAAUAAUAAUUCGAGGCGUUUCCACGAGUUUCUAUUGCGUUUGGACAAUUAUUAAUUCAUAAUAGCAAACUCAAAUUUAAUGACUUAAUUUAGAAACGAAAUGGAAAUAAUAUAAGACGACGAAUUUUUUUUAAAAGACGGAACGGAUUACGACGACGGAACGAACUUCGAGUUGUCACAUUAUCCNUUCACGCUCCAAAGUGAAAUCGGGUCUCCGCUUGACAUUCCAGCGAACCGUCACUAUCGGGAUGCGGCUUUGUUUCGUACGUUUGAUCUCUAGAUUCAUGAUCUCAAUUUGUUCUUCCAUGGGGGUUCAGUCUUUUGUUGAUUUCGAUAUCAUCAAGGGAUUACUAGAGUUUCGUCGAGCAGGCGUUUCUAAAGAUUCGAGACGUGGAAGACAAGAUGGAUACUACCAAGUCCUUGAGAUAGUCGAAGUUUGUAGUUCACGGAUCCGAUUUUGACGGGGAUUUCCAGAAGCCCGAUGUAUCACGGGUGAAGUUUUCCGCACUUUCCAGAGAAUAACAUGCCAUUCUGGGAUAAGACCUUCAACAGGACAUAAGCUCCAACAAGAGGGUAUAUCUUUGUGGGUCAGAGUAGCUAAGGUUUUGA
rnacentral:lncRNA from 1 species